AAAAGGAAUUAAGACAGUGAAGGAGGUGGAGCAGAGGAGCUGGAGGGCAGCCUAAUAACGGAAGGCAGGCUCUGGACCCAGGGCCCAGCAGUCGCUCAGCAUCAGGGAGCUGUGGAGCGGAGGACUAGGCCCCAGGCCCUGGACUGGCCAGCAACAGAGACCCUGUGUGAGUACUCAUCUCACUGGCCAGAUGUUGGGUCAAAAUGAGAGGUGAGACUCGGUCAAGAGGUUCUAACGUGGAACAAGAGCACUGUUGAGAGUGCUCAUAGUGCUCGUCCUGCAUUGGGGAGGCUGAGGCAGGGGGAUUAUGAAUUUGAGGUUAUCCUGGGUUAUAUGGGAGACUUCAUUAUGUAUUCUUCCGGUGCUACCCUAGGGAGGAUUUACUCAGGAGUGUGACGUGUAUCCAUAAUGUUCACUGAGUGUGGACUCUGUGCACAGCUUGCUCUUCACGGAUCUGUCAGCCUCAUGAGGGCAGCAGGAAACCACGUGCAAGUGGACUCACCUCCCAAAAGAAUGCAAACUCUGAAAUGCUCAUGUUCCCUGAAGGGGGUGAGCAAUUCUAUGAUGGCUGCUUCCUGUACAGAGAGUGCUGAAGCUUCUAGGUCCUAUCUGUGUUCCUAAAGUGUUGCUCAUUCCCCGGCUCUGAAGGAAGCUCCUCUCAGCACUCACCACCGGUCAACAGCAGAAACCAAGUGCAAAUAGAUAAUCCUUCGCAUCGGCAAUCAAAAGCAGCACAUUAGGAGUUGUCAAGGCAAUAAUUUAAAGUCAGCUCUCCGGUGCAUCAAUACUUGCUAAGAAACAUCCCCUGGCCGUGCUGUAGGUUACCCCUGGGAAUGUGACUCUAUCUGGCAGGAAUUCAACUGUCUUGGAAAAGCCAGGCAGGAGCACUGUUACGGAUAUCUUGUUUUGACAAUUCCCUCUGGACCGCAUGUCAAAGAUCUCUGGAUGGUUCCAGCCAGGCUAUGGAUUCACUAUAACAAACUCCUUCAUUCAUCCUGCUUAGACCAGGCUGUGCCACCUGGCACUAAUUAGGGACACCUGGCAAGGUGACCCAUUGUCACCCAUCAGUGGAGAAAAGUGAAGCACCUGGACAGGGUUAUGAGCUCUGAGGUGAGUGCAUGAGUUCCAGACGCCAGGGCGGCAUGUGAGAGGUGGCCUAGUGGCUCUGGCUCGUCACCCUGACCCUGCCUCUGUACGCACAGCUGACAUACAAUGCUGUCCAGAAGAGGUCACCAGGUAGCUUUUGCCAGGAUUCUGUGUACCUAAUGGAGCACAGCCAGGGCUCAGGUGAUAGCCCUGGCCACAUUCAGGCAACAACAGACCCUAGACUUAGCCCUGAAGGUCCCUUAGACUUGGUUGGACAAGCCAUCCCUUAAGUAACCCUAAUCCCCCGAAUACAUUUCAUGGUUUUUCUUGUUUUGCUUUGAGCCUAAAUGGACAAUUUUGUCCUGUUUGCAACCGCACCCCUUCAGCAGACAGAUCAGCAACAGGAAUACUUCUCUGGAAGAGUCUGAGUGCAGCUUGUGAGUGUUUGCUUGCUAUCAGUUUAGUCUCAAGAAGGCAGCUGGGAGGUGCUGCUCCCUGGAGCACGUGGCCUUGGGCUGCAGCUCCUGACUCUGAAGGAGUCCAGCUCCAAAUAGAAAUCACUCUCAAGUACAGUGGCACCUUCCCCACAACAACUCCUUUUCCUGCACGGUCACAUAGCCUUCAAUGCUGCAAGUGCUCUCUAAAUCAAUGCUGUUUGAAAAGUCAAGAUGCAAAAAAAAAGAUGGCUCCAGUUUGGGGGCAACAGGCACUUGGGAGUAAAUAUCAGGGCAUUACAGCUCGACCUCUGUAAACUCAGCCAACAAGAAAAUGCUGGAUGGACAGACCAGUUGCUUAGGUCCCUCCUUCUCCAGGACACCCAUGUACCCACUCUGAGUGCCUGGUUCAGGCAGGUCCCAGGCAACUGCAUGAGGGCCCUGCCACUUCUGUGCCUUUAGUGAAGGCCACAUCCACUGACUUCGUUAGUGCUGGGAACUUUAUGUGCACCCUGUAUGUGCUAUAUACACCAUCCAAGGGGCUGCUCAAUAAACACCUAAGCGAAUGACAGGUCCUCACUGCCGACAUGGCUUGGUAGGUGAGCACUGCGUAGCUAGUCUCUGGAAAUCUGCCUUCUGCACCUACAGCAAUGAACAGAGCCAGCCGGCAAGCCGCUGCCCUCUUGACUUGAUGCUGGAAGAGGCAGAGAAGUUGCAGAGACAAGUAGAUAACUCAAUGUAGUGGAAGCUGUUACCAGCCAGGAAGAAAGGAGAGCUUCUUUCUUCCUGGUGGGAAUCUAGGUGGCAGCUCAAAGCUGUCCCCUUUCUUCAGGUUUGAGGGCCACACAGGGAGGAGAUGCCAAUACUUUCUGGAAAUGAAUCAUCCAACAAUGGGGUAGGGAAGCACGCUGCAGGUAAGAGGAGGGUGUCUUCCCAUGUGGCAUUAGGAAACUUCCAAUUUUAGAUGUUAAUAGCAUGGAAGCUUAGAAAUAACACAUUACGAGAGUUUCUUGGAAUGAAGGGUGAUGUAAUGACAACUGGAAGCAGACAGGGAACUUAUUAUAGAAGGCUGGAGAGGAAGGCCUCAGCCAUGGAGUCCAGCACUUUGCAGGAUGGGAGAGGUCAGGCAGGGAUCUGGUUCCUGCCUAGUCUGUGGGGGACAUGGGGUCUCAUAUGGAGUGGGAAGUAGUGUACUUGCUGUUCCUUGGAUAGCUGCUAUUCAUCAAGUGGCCCACUUUGACUGUUCUAUGCCUAAAUGAAAACUAUACUUCUUAAGUUGAUGGCUGCUUUUAUUAGGGGCCGUUUCACUUCAUCACGGCACUGGCAGAGAGCUGCAGAGACCUGGCCACCAGCUGGUCUCUGAAAUUGAGAGGAAGCCAGGUUGAGGUUGUAGAAGUAAGAUGCAAUUAAUAGAUGCAAGAUGUCACCCUAUGCUUGAAAGACCUGGGGUAAAUUCAUGAGGGUGAUGGUGGGGUUUCUAGACCAUUUCCAUGGCUCUGUCACCCUGCAGGCCUGCCCCAGCUAGCCUCAGCAUUCCUUUGGACCCUAAGAUGACAUGAAUUACAUUUGGAGCCAAGGGCCACAGUGGCAAGGAUACAGUGGCAAGAAAGGCAACUGUUAAGGGCUAUGGGAGAAAAGAAAAGAAAAAGGCCAGCAAAAGGAUAGCCAGAUACCUCUUCUGUGAAAAGCCCAGUCUCCUUUCAGAUACCUGGAACCUAUUUGUUGUGGUCAUGAAGCUUGUUCCCAUCACAUGAGAAAAGUUCAAAGGUCAUUAGCUUUUAAGUGGACACCGUGAGGUAGUCUGAGCUCUCUUACCCAUCAUCUUCGUGAUAUGUCAUAGUAUGUCACCUUCCACCUGUACAGCAAUGGGAGGUCCAUGACAUAUGCACAUGCGAAUGAAUGCGAGGUCUCCUGCUGUGCACCAAGGCAGCAUGGGAGAGGCCUCUGGUCAGUGCUGGGCAGCCUCCCAUCCUUGGGCCUGACCAUUCUCAGCAAAGCUGGAGCUGGCCGCCAGGCUUUUCUAGGAAACUUUCUCUCCCUUACUCUUCCCCAGCUGUAUCAUGAAAACGGAUUUCAAAAGGUUCACGAAAUCCUCCAACACUGCAUGUGUGUAAAAAUGACUAAAUAAAGAGCCUAUAGAUACAGGAGAAUUCAUAUGUGGUCUGUGGGAAGUAUGAUGGUUUAAUCUUCAUCUUUGACAACAUUUCCAGAGAUGAUUAACUGUUGGGGCAUAAACAGGGGAAGACCCACUCUGAAGUGGGUGGCAGCAUCCUAUGGGCCGUGGUCUCAGGCUAAAGCAAGAAGAGAAAGACAGGUGAGUGUUGGCAGCCCAUCUCUGUCUCCUGAAAUGUCCAGAAGUGAUCGAGCAGCCUCUGCCACCAAGCCUUCACCACCAGGAUGGACUGCAGACUCUCAAACUGUGAGCCACAAUGCAUCCUUCUUCCUCAAGCUGCUUUCUGUUAGUCAAUCUAUUGCAUCAACCAGAAAAAUAACUAAUAAAGAAAGGGCACACAUCUCACUGUGCCCAAGUGCUUGUCUCCC
rnacentral:lncRNA from 1 species